rnacentral:rRNA from 1 species
UACGUAGGGGGCGAGCGUUGUCCGGAAUCAUUGGGCGUAAAGAGCGUGUAGGCGGCUUGGCAAGUCCGCUGUGAAAACUCGAGGCUCAACCUCGAGACGUCGGUGGAAACUGCCUCGCUAGAGUCCGGAAGAGGAGAGUGGAAUUCCUGGUGUAGCGGUGAAAUGCGCAGAUAUCAGGAGGAACACCGGUGGCGAAGGCGGUUCUCUGGGCAUUACCUGACGCUGAGGAGCGAAAGUGUGGGGAGCGAACAGG